CUCCCCUCGACAUGCCCUCACCAGCCCCAGCCUUGGAGGCCAGGGCCGACAGAACCUGUGGUUUGCCAACCCUGGAGGCAGCAACAGCAUGCCCAGUCAGAGCCGCAGCUCUGUGCAGCGCACCCACUCGCUCCCGGUCCACUCGUCACCCCAGGCCAUUCUCAUGUUCCCUCCAGACUGCCCGGUUCCUGGGCCUGACCUGGAGAUCAAUCCCACUCUGGAGUCUCUGUGUCUGAGCAUGACAGAACACGCCUUGGGUGGUGAGCAUUUCCUCUUUCCCUGACCCAGCUCCCACCUACCCAGCGUCUCUGCCUCUGAACUGAGCAACUCAGAGUCAUCCUGAGGGGUCCCCAGGGGAGGCCAGACUCCAGGGAGGGCCUGACUGGGAUGACAGGCUACCUGAGUGCCUUUUCUUGGGCCUCCCUCCAGCUCCUGAUCUUCCUCCCUUCCUCCCUUUCUUACCACAGAUGGGACAGACAAAACCUCCACCAUCUGACGGGACCCACAGCCCAGCGCACCCAUAGGCUCCCUGGGCGGCGGGCGGGGGCCAACCCC
rnacentral:lncRNA from 1 species